rnacentral:rRNA from 1 species
AACGAACGCUGGCGGCAGGCCUAACACAUGCAAGUCGAGCGAAGCCUUCGGGCUUAGCGGCGGACGGGUGAGUAACGCGUGGGAACGUGCCCUUUGCUACGGAAUAGCCCCGGGAAACUGGGAGUUACACCGUAUGUGCCCUUUGGGGGAAAGAUUUAUCGGCAAAGGAUCGGCCCGCGUUGGAUUAGGUAGUUGGUGGGGUAAUGGCCUACCAAGCCGACGAUCCAUAGCUGGUUUGAGAGGAUGAUCAGCCACACUGGGACUGAGACACGGCCCAGACUCCUACGGGAGGCGGCAGUGGGGAAUCUUAGACAAUGGGCGCAAGCCUGAUCUAGCCAUGCCGCGUGAUCGAUGAAGGCCUUAGGGUUGUAAAGAUCUUUCAGGUGGGAAGAUAAUGACUGUACCACCAGAAGAAGCCCCGGCUAACUCCGUGCCAGCAGCCGCGGUAA